CUAAUCAUGCAAGUCGAGCGAAUGGAUUAAGAGCUUGCUCUUAUGAAGUUAGCGGCGGACGGGUGAGUAACACGUGGGUAACCUGCCCAUAAGACUGGGAUAACUCCGGGAAACCGGGGCUAAUACCGGAUAACAUUUUGAACCGCAUGGUUCGAAAUUGAAAGGCGGCUUCGGCUGUCACUUAUGGAUGGACCCGCGUCGCAUUAGCUAGUUGGUGAGGUAACGGCUCACCAAGGCAACGAUGCGUAGCCGACCUGAGAGGGUGAUCGGCCACACUGGGACUGAGACACGGCCCAGACUCCUACGGGAGGCAGCAGUAGGGAAUCUUCCGCAAUGGACGAAAGUCUGACGGAGCAACGCCGCGUGAGUGAUGAAGGCUUUCGGGUCGUAAAACUCUGUUGUUAGGGAAGAACAAGUGCUAGUUGAAUAAGCUGGCACCUUGACGGUACCUAACCAGAAAGCCACGGCUAACUACGUGCCAGCAGCCGCGGUAAUACGUAGGUGGCAAGCGUUAUCCGGAAUUAUUGGGCGUAAAGCGCGCGCAGGUGGUUUCUUAAGUCUGAUGUGAAAGCCCACGGCUCAACCGUGGAGGGUCAUUGGAAACUGGGAGACUUGAGUGCAGAAGAGGAAAGUGGAAUUCCAUGUGUAGCGGUGAAAUGCGUAGAGAUAUGGAGGAACACCAGUGGCGAAGGCGACUUUC
rnacentral:rRNA from 1 species